ACCCAGACCGCCAGCUAAGGUCCCAAAGUCAUGGUUAAGUGGGAAACGAUGUGGGAAGGCCCAGACAGCCAGGAUGUUGGCUUAGAAGCAGCCAUCAUUAAAGAAAGCGUAAUAGCUCACUGGUCGAGUCGGCCUGCGCGGAAGAUGUAACGGGGCUAAACCAUGCACCGAAGCUGCGGCAGCGACGCUUAUGCGUUGUUGGGUAGGGGAGCGUUCUGUAAGCCGUUGAAGGUGGCCUGUGAGGGUUGCUGGAGGUAUCAGAAGUGCGAAUGCUGACAUAAGUAACGAUAAAG
rnacentral:rRNA from 1 species